AGAUGUUUCAGGAUACUUACUUCUGAUCUCAUGGCGGGGCAUCACACCAGACCCAUUACAUGCAUGCUGGGAGAACAGAGCAACCUUCAAUCCCUAUACACGGGCUACUUAACCCUCUUGGUCUCCUCUUUCUGGCAGAAGGAGCACAGAGCAGCCAGGCGUGAGCUGUGAGAAGAUGAGGCAUCUGCAGAUGAAGUUCUGAUGCACCCACUCAUGGAGGCCAAGCUAUCCCUCCUGCAAGUCCUGCCCCGAUAAGGCUUCUCCCACCGGCUUCCCAUGGGCUUUCUGAGACUGUUUUCCAGAUGGGCUCAGGGGUCCCUCAAAUGAGGCAGCGUGGGGGAAAGACUGAAAGAACUCCGCAGGGUCACACAGAGUGCCUAGAGACCAAGGCACCAGCAUAAAGGCUACAUUUGUGAGGAGCAACAGAAAGACAGCCAAGCACUGAGGAGCAGGUGGAAGACCUGCUGGUCGUCUAACCUAUUGAUGACCCUCGAUGUGUUUAAAGAGGAAAAGAAGAUGCAUAUGAAGUCCCUGAGGAUCCUGGGAAAAAGUUGGAUGCUCUAGGAGUGGCCAGAGAGAAUACAGGAUGCACUUGGAACAUUUUGUACCAGAAAGCAAAAGAGAACCCCAAGAUUGAUAGAGCCAUGGCCAAAAGACCUACAUAGGAGCCAAUUCAAACUGCUCACACUGGCCAGACCUGGUGACCUGCGCAUCAAAAGCUAUGAUACUGACAGGGGAUGGGGAAGGGGCCCA
rnacentral:lncRNA from 1 species